AUUUUUUUCUACUGCGAACUCGAAUAUGUACCACAGUACAGAGGUGGAGUAAAACACGUGAGUUCAUGAUCUCCAGUGAAUGAUCAUUGCCUGGUAUUUCACUGUCACUCUGAGACACAUCCAGUUCUGCAGGUGACCUGGAAUGACAGGAUCAGUGAUGAAGAUCAGUUGGUCUGAGUGUCUCUGUUUGAUCCUCCUGCUUCUCCAACAGACCACUGUCUCCACGU